rnacentral:rRNA from 1 species
AAACCAACCGGGAUUGCCUUAGUAACGGCGAGUGAAGCGGCAAAAAGCUCAAAUUUGAAAUCUGGUACCUUCGGUGCCCGAGUUGUAAUUUGGAGAGGGCAACUUUGGGGCCGUUCCUUGUCUAUGUUCCUUGGAACAGGACGUCAUAGAGGGUGAGAAUCCCGUGUGGCGAGGAGUGCGGUUCUUUGUAAAGUGCCUUCGAAGAGUCGAGUUGUUUGGGAAUGCAGCUCUAAGUGGGUGGUAAAUUCCAUCUAAAGCUAAAUAUUGGCGAGAGACCGAUAGCGAACAAGUACAGUGAUGGAAAGAUGAAAAGAACUUUGAAAAGAGAGUGAACAAGUACGUGAAAUUGUUGAAAGGGAAGGGCAUUUGAUCAGACAUGGUGUUUUGUGCCCUCUGCUCCUUGUGGGUAGGGGAAUCUCGCAUUUCACUGGGCCAGCAUCAGUUUUGGUGGCAGGAUAAAUCCAUAGGAAUGUAGCUUGCCUCGGUAAGUAUUAUAGCCUGUGGGAAUACUGCC